GGGGAUGUAGCUCAGAGUUAGAGCGCAUUCUUACCAAAUGCAAGGCCCUGGGCUCAAUCCCCAGCAACUCCC
rnacentral:tRNA from 1 species